UCGAAGCAACGCGAAGAACCUUACCAGGUCUUGACAUCCUUUGACCACUCUAGAGAUAGAGCUUUCCCUUCGGGGACAAAGUGACAGGUGGUGCAUGGUUGUCGUCAGCUCGUGUCGUGAGAUGUUGGGUUAAGUCCCGCAACGAGCGCAACCCUUAUUGUUAGUUGCCAUCAUUUAGUUGGGCACUCUAGCGAGACUGCCGGUGACAAACCGGAGGAAGGUGGGGAUGACGUCAAAUCAUCAUGCCCCUUAUGACCUGGGCUACACACGUGCUACAAUGGGAAGUACAACGAGUCGCUAGACCGCGAGGUCAUGCAAAUCUCUUAAAGCUUCUCUCAGUUCGGAUUGCAGGCUGCAACUCGCCUGCAUGAAGCCGGAAUCGCUAGUAAUCGCGGAUCAGCACGCCGCGGUGAAUACGUUCCCGGGCCUUGUACACACCGCCCGUCACACCACGAGAGUUUGUAACACCCGAAGUCGGUGAGGUAACCUUUUUGGAGCCAGCCGCCUAAGGUGGGAUAGAUGAUUGGGGUGAAGUCGUAACAAGGUAGCCGUAUCGGAAGGUGCGGCUGGAUCACCUCCUUU
rnacentral:rRNA from 1 species